UUUUGCGGUGUGGGAUGGACCCGCGGCCUAUCAGCUUGUUGGAGGGGUGAUGGCCAACCAAGACGACGACGAGUAGCCGACCUGAGAGGGUGUCCGGCCACACUGGGACUGAGAUACGGCCCAGACUCCUACGGGAGGCAGCAGUGGGGAAUAUUGCACAAUGGGCGCAAGCCUGAUGCAGCGACGCCGCGUGGGGGAUGACGACCUUCGGGUUGUAAACCUCUUUCAGCAGGGACGAAGGGUGACUGACGGUACCUGUAGAAGAAGCACCGGCCAACUACGUGCCAGCAACCGCGGUAAUACGUAGGGUGCGAGCGUUGUCCGGAAUUACUGGGCGUAAAGAGCUCGUAGGUGGUUUGUCGCGUUGUUCGUGAAAACUCACAGCUUAACUGUGGGCGUGCGGGCGAUACGGGCAGACUGGAGUACUGCAGGGGAGACUGGAAUUCCUGGUGUAGCGGUGGAAUACGCAGAUAUCAGGAGGAACACCGGUGGCGAAGGCGGGUCUCUGGGC
rnacentral:rRNA from 1 species